CAGUCGUACCUGCGGACAAUCAGCUUUUUGAGUGUGAUUAUGUGGAUUGUGAGGAGUUUAAUCACCCUCAUGGUUUGCAUAUUCGUGCUCUUGGGUGUAUUUGCCCGUGUGGUAGGUUAACAUCAAUUUCGGACGUCAUAAAAUGAUUGGAGGAAUGUAGCUUUGAUCUCGUAUCGAAGUGUUAUAGCCUCUGGUAGAUGUGACGAGUUGGGGAUUGGAGGAUUGCAACGGAUACCCCUCGGGGCUACCCGUCUGAUCUCUGAAGGUUGCGUCCGGUGGCGAAAGCGUGCUUACGGUCAUCGAAAGUGUAUUUUAC
rnacentral:rRNA from 1 species